ACUAGUUAACUCCAAAAUUAAUUGUCUUACAAAGGAUAAUGGAAACUUUGCAACGAAAGACUAUAUCAUCCGUGGAUGAUGCUUCCUUGCCCGCCGACUGAUACUACUACUUUUAUUCAUAUUCGUUGUUUUCGGUCGUCCCUUUCUUUCACUAUCUCUACCGUUUUCUUUUUUAUGUAUAUAUUUCUUUUCUGAAUAUUAUAAUAUAUAUAUAUAUCUUUUCAGAUCUAGUUGGAAGGGAUUAGGGUGGUAGCCAAUAGUGAAGGGUUUGUGAUGGAGCAGUUUUUUCCGACUAAAACCCGAUGAAAGCCAUACAUAUUUAACGGAUGGAUCUAAACGUUAUCCCCGUCGUUUUCAUUCAGUGAUGAUCGAUUUAAAGGGGUGGCCAGAUCUGGUGGUGGUGCCGACAAUGAUUGGGGCUGUUGGUGGUGGUCGUCGCUGCCUCAAACCUUUUGUUCACUGGGUAGAGAUAUCAAGGAGUCCUCACUGCCUAUUGGUUACAUCUUAACGCAUAAAGAAGUUAUUCAAGACACACUCCAUUUUGCGUCACUCUCUCCCCCUCUCAGUUUCUCUCUGCAAAAAGGGACCAGCAAAACAGAAGAAAAAAAACUCCAUUUCAGCCUCCUUUUCUCUACUUGUUCUUAAUCUCUACAAUCAAAAGAGGUUUUGAACACCUACCACACAAGGCUUGUGGUGUUGCGGUUUUGAAAUAAGAAUGUUCAAUUUUGGAUGUUACUUGGUGUGUGAAAGGCGCUGGAAAUCUACCAAAUCAAAGAACAAAUAGCUCGAGAUCAGAACUUUGGGUGUCUCUCCAAUAGAGAAGUUCUAACUUGAACUUUCAUUCAUCUUCUUCAAGGAUAUCUUCAAGGUUAUGUUUUUCUUGUAUUCAUUCUCUUGAGGCUUUUGUUUGUACAAGUCGAUCCAUGGUUUGAGUUCGGUUUGUUCAAAAUUUUAAUAUCUUAUUGCUUCAUGGUGCGUAUAUGUAUGUUUUUACCGAACUCUAAUAAAUUUUAAUAUGUUAUUGUUAACUUGUUAAUUUAAA